UAGGGCGACAGCAAACUGUUUGACGCCCAGGCCGGAUUCGAAAAAGGCAUCACCGGCAUUCUCCCCGCAUUGGCAGGCGCCAAUGUCAUUUAUGGAUUGG
rfam:Desulfobacteraceae bacterium 4572_123 ex4572_123_scaffold_668, whole genome shotgun sequence.